UAUCGCCAAUGGUGGCACAGGUGGGGGCCUCUUGGAAAAGGGCACCACAGAGGGUGUGAGUCCUGUUUGCCAUCUGUAGUCCGCCGUGUACGGCAUGCCUCCUCAGAGUCACGUUCCUUGGAAUUGGAGCGCGAAGGUGGUGGUGGCUUUCAUCUCAAGCUAAGUAUGGGUUCGAGACCGAUAGCAAACAAGUACCAUGAGGGAAAAUUGAAAAGAGCUUUGGAAAGAGAGUUAAAAGUGCCCGAACUUGCUGAUAGGGAAGCGAAGGGAGCUGACGUUGCUUGGUAACAUCUUCUACGCAAGACUAGGAUGGGUUCUGAUUGCAAUGUGUGUAGUGUUUCUUGCCGUGCGUGUCGAUGCCAAGCAAUGAGUGGGGAGAGCUCCAGGGACGUGAUUGUUUCUGUCUCCGGGUAGACGAAGGUGCCUGGUUGCAUCCAUUCGUGGGCUGAAAAAUUGGUGGCUGGUCGCAGCACUCCCUUGCCGCUCACGGCAAUUGGAGUGUAGCCCUGACAUGCAGACGAGGACAAAGUGCUUCUGUUCGACCCGUCUUGAAACACGGACCAAGGAGUCUGACACUCAUGCAAGCUCGUUGGUGGAUAAACUUGUUCGCGUAAUUAAGGUGUCUGUUGUGAUUUGUGCA
rnacentral:rRNA from 1 species